AUGUAUCUCCUUGUCUGGAACUGUCAGGGAUUGGGGUUGGACCCAACAGUGGGCGAAUUAAGGGACCUGAUACGGUCAUACAACCCAGCGGUGGUUUUCCUGAGCGAGACAAAGAAGAAGGCGCGAGCAAUGGAAAAAGUUAAAUGGAGUUUAGGGUUCCGCAAUGGCGUUGUCGUGGACUGCGAGGGGAGGAGUGGAGGAUUAGCUUUGCUUUGGAGGGAUCAUAUCUCUGUCAUUGUUAGGCCGUGGUGCCAUUACUAUAUUGAUGCAGAAAUUUCUUUUGAGGGAAGGACCGUCAGAUUCACCGGAAUCUAUGGAGAACCUCGGAUGGAGCACAGGCUGAAGACAUGGGAUGCCCUUCGUUACUUAAAGCAACAAGAUAAUUUAACUUGGCUUUGUGCAGGUGAUUUUAAUAAGAUUCUUUUUUAG
rnacentral:rRNA from 1 species